rnacentral:rRNA from 1 species
UGGGAAUUGCGGCUGCUAUACAUGCAAGUCGAGCGGACUGAUGGGAGCUUGCUCCCAUCAGUCAGCGGCGGACGGGUGAGUAACACGUGGGUAACCUGCCUGUAAGACUGGGAUAACUCCGGGAAACCGGGGCUAAUACCGGAUAACUCAUUUCCUCGCAUGAGGAAAUGUUGAAAGAUGGCUUCUUGCUAUCACUUACAGAUGGACCCGCGGCGCAUUAGCUAGUUGGUGAGGUAACGGCUCACCAAGGCGACAAUGCGUAGCCAACCUGAGAGGGUGAUCGGCCACACUGGGACUGAAACACGGCCCAAACUCCUACGGGAGGCAGCAGUAGGGAAUCUUCCGCAAUGGACGAAAGUCUGACGGAGCAACGCCGCGUGAGUGAUGAAGGUUUUCGGAUCGUAAAACUCUGUUGUUAGGGAAGAACAAGUACCGUUCGAAUAGGGCGGUACCUUGACGGUACCUAACCAGAAAGCCACGGCUAACUACGUGCCAGCAGCCGCGGUAAUACGUAGGUGGCAAGCGUUGUCCGGAAUUAUUGGGCGUAAAGCGCGCGCAGGUGGUUUCUUAAGUCUGAUGUGAAAGCCCACGGCUCAACCGUGGAGGGUCAUUGGAAACUGGGGAACUUGAGUGCAGAAAAGGAAAGUGGAAUUCCAAGUGUAGCGGUGAAAUGCGUAGAUAUUUGGAGGAACACCAGUGGCGAAGGCGACUUUCUGGUCUGUAACUGACACUGAGGCGCGAAAGCGUGGGGAGCAAACAGGAUUAGAUACCCUGGUAGUCCACGCCGUAAACGAUGAGUGCUAAGUGUUAGAGGGUUUCCGCCCUUUAGUGCUGCAGCUAACGCAUUAAGCACUCCGCCUGGGGGAGUACGGUCGCAAGACUGAAACUCAAAGGAAUUGACGGGGGCCCGCACAAGCGGUGGAGCAUGUGGUUUAUUCGAAGCACGCGAAGAACCUUACCAGGGUCUUGAAAUCCUCUGACACCCUAGGGAUAGGGCUUUCCCUUCGGGGACAGAGUGACAGUUGAUGCAUGUUGUCGUCAGCUCGUGUCUGGAAUGUGGUAGUCCGCACGAGCGCACCCUUGAUCUAGUGCAGCAUCAGUGGCACUCUAAGAUGACUGCGGUGACAAAACCGAGAGUG